rnacentral:misc_RNA from 1 species
UCUCCGUUGGUGAACCAGCGGAGGGAUCAUUACCGAGUUUACAACUCCUAAACCCCUGUGAACAUACCAUUUGUUGCCUCGGCGGUGCCUGCUUCGGCAGCCCGCCAGAGGACCCAAACCCUUGAUUUUAUACAGUAUCUUCUGAGUAAAUGAUUAAAUAAAUCAAAACUUUCAACAACGGAUCUCUUGGUUCUG